rnacentral:piRNA from 1 species
AGAACCAAAUCCUGAUGCCAAAACGUAG